GGAGAAGUGGCAGAUAGGAAUGUAUGCGGCUUGAAACCGUUCGAUAGAGGUUUAAUUCCUCUCUU
rnacentral:tRNA from 1 species